UACGUAGGGGGCAAGCGUUGUCCGGAAUCAUUGGGCGUAAAGAGCGUGUAGGCGGCCCGGUAAGUCUGUUGUGAAAGUCCAGGGCUCAACCCUGGAAAGCCGAUGGAUACUGCCGGGCUAGAGUUCGGAAGAGGCGAGUGGAAUUCCUGGUGUAGCGGUGGAAUGCGCAGAUAUCAGGAGGAACACCUAUAGCGAAGGCAGCUCGCUGGGACGACACUGACGCUGAGGAGCGAAAGCGUGGGUAGCAAACAGG
rnacentral:rRNA from 1 species